CACCGGCGGCUCGAGUGGUAGCCACUUUUAUUGGGUCUAAAGCGUCCGUAGCCGGCUUGGCAAGUCCCCUGGGAAAUCUGGCGGCUUAACCGUCAGGCGUCCAGAGGAUACUGCCAGGCUUGGGACCGGGAGAGGUGAGAGGUACCUCAGGGGUAGGGGUGAAAUCUUGUGAUCCCUGAGGGACCACCAGUGGCGAAGGCGUCUCACUAGAACGGGUCCGACGGUCAGGGACGAAAGCUGGGGGCACGAACCGG
rnacentral:rRNA from 1 species